UCCCUGGUGGCGCAGUGGUUAAGACGCUGUGCUCCUGACGCAGGGGGCCUGGGUUCGAUCCCCGGUCAGGGAA